GUGCUUGCUUUGACAGCACAUAUACUAAAAAAUUGGAAUGAUACAGAGAAGAUUAGCAUGGCCACUGUGCAAGAAUGACAUGCAAAUUCAUGAAGCAUUCCAUUAAAAA
ensembl:snRNA U6 U6 spliceosomal RNA